AAAGAUUUUUUUUUUCCUGUCUGUGUUGUGUUUCUUGCCUUCAGCAGGCAAUGUUGUGUGGCUCUGGGGCUGAGAAAAAGUGAAUGCCAACUGUCUGGGAGAACUUGGAGCAGUUCUUACUUGGCCGAUAGGAAACAGCUUUCCCUUAUACUUCUCAGGAAAAGGUACCUUUUCAGGGGAAUUACCCUCCAGUUCUGGUGAGGAAAUUUUGUCAGACCUCAGAAAUUACAAUGCUCUGGUCAGCUGUGGUCCUAUUCAGAGCACAAUGAGCAAAGUGAUCUGUUCCCGGCAGCAUGUGACCAAAGAAAAAUUUGUGUCGUUCUUGUGAUGUGGACAGAGUUGCUGGAGAGGAGCCAAUCUGCUGUCAGUACAGCCAAAAUAAACAAAAGAGUUGCUCAUUUUCUGUCAAGCUGAUGUGGUUCAGUCAAUCAAAUCUGUUGGAAUUCAUGCAGCUGAUGCAAGUGGCUCAGUCCCUGAGAAACCUCCUCCAGCUUGCUUGGAGCAAGAAAAUUCACCAUUAAAUGGACAUAUUGCAAAAAUUGCACAUGCAUCAAAGAGUGCUGGUUCAGAGAAGGCUGUUCCCAUUUGUGAGAAGGAAUAUGAAGUCACCCGAAGUCAUGCCUUGGUGAGAGAGAGAGAGGGAGUAAUUAAAUUCAGUGGUGGGCCUGGCAAAA
rnacentral:lncRNA from 1 species